UACGAAGGGGGCGAGCGUUGUUCGGAAUUACUGGGCGUAAAGGGCGCGCAGGCGGCUAUCCAAGUCAGUGGUGAAAGCCCGGAGCUCAACUCCGGAACUGCCAUUGAAACUGUUUAGCUUGAGGAUGAGAGAGGUGAGUGGAAUUCCCAGUGUAGAGGUGAAAUUCGUAGAUAUUCGCAAGAACACCAGUGGCGAAGGCGGCUCACUGGCCCGAUACUGACGCUGAGGUGCGAAAGCGUGGGGAGCAAACAGG
rnacentral:rRNA from 1 species